UGCUCUUUAUAUCAAUUCGUACUGGUAUUAUUUCUGAACAUUUUCACUGAUUGCUUUGCCGUUUCAUGUAAAAGAACGUUUCAUUUUUAUUGAGCGUAAAUGUACGGGGCGGAAUGGGCAUACUUGCUUGGGGCAUUAUGACCAGGUAUUUUUUCAACAUAAACUGUAAAAACAGUUGUCAAAAAUUGUAAACAUAGUUAGAAAUAGUUAGAUGUGGAAUCAUGGUGCGGAAUUAUAUCAGAACAUCUGAUUGUAAAAAAUGGAAUUGAACGCGGCCACCGAUGCAGCGAAGAGAAGUACGACAGUGUGGCAAGCAUCCUUAUGGCGGGUUUACAUUAGGGAGAUCUAUAGCUAUAGAUGGAUUUAUUCACGUGAAAUAGGUGUAAACGGCAUAUGUAAACGAGAAACUUGUGAAUUUCUCACUGGUGAGAAAUCACUAAAGUUGGAUGCAGUUCUACUUCAGGUGAAUAAAUUCACCGAAGAUAUGAAUAUAUUCAUUAUAGAAGUUCACGCUAGUGUAAACGGUUGAUGCGAUUUCUAUAAAGCUCAUCAUAUUUCUUCAUAUGAAUAUAUCACUAGUCUAAACCCACCCUUAGUGCAUUGUGUCCCGCGAGAAACACUUAAACGUUAUCUACGUUGUGCAGACCCUUUGCUGCUCCAUAUUUCUCACUCUUUCAAUAAUCAAAAGCAAUUAGCCGGAAUAGAUUGGCUGGCUGGUUUUCGAAAGUGUCACCCACAAAUCUCACAUCGGACACCAGAAGCAACAUCCGCCGCUAGGAUUAAAUGAUUCAAUCGCGUUGCAGUCGGGAAAUUCUACGUUUUACUGGAGGACGUACAGCAGAAAUACAACACUCCACCAGAAAGGCAAUUCAACGCCGAUAAAACAUCAGUGAUUCCAGAGCAGACCGAAAAUUCCAAAAUCCUAGCAAUGCGGAGAAAAAGGCAGAUGAGCGCAGGGUGCUGAGCAAGGAAUAACCAUUAUAGAAUAUUCCACAGGACACCUUAUGUUACUACUGUGGGACACAAUUCAGUUCCUCUACUGGUGGCGAUAAACGGAAACAAUGCUAUAGAUGCUCAGAUAUUCUCUGUUCCUGAUUUGAGCAACGUAAACUUGUAGUCCAAUCACUUUGAUCACAUUGUUAUUUUUUGUACAUGCAAACUGAAUGGAAUCCAAUGAAAUACACGUAAUAGUUGCAAA